AUUCAUGCGAGCUGUUACAGUCGGCCAAAAGGAAGACGUGCAGUUUGGCCGAAUAAUAUGCAUACCUGUGAUGGUAAAUGUGUAGUAAUUAUUAAGUUUAUCCAUGUGGGUAAUGGUUGGUGUCAAAGACACACAUUAUCUGACAGGACUUAUUACCAACAUUUGAUCAUUACGUUGAGAGUACCGCUUGCAGUUAAUUCUUACAAUCAAAGAUUGGGAAUUGAUGGUGCGCUUGGUAUCUUGUUUGUCUUAUAAUUUACAAAUAAAGAAGUGCACGCCUCUAUAUUAAUUUAUUGACGUGCCUAAUAAAGUCGUGUUAGUGUAGAUCCAUACAAGUAUUUAGUGGAUUACAUUCACACUAAUAAUUAUAAACAUGUGACGAUUAUAAGGAUUUAUUGUUUGUCAAUAUUGACUGUCAGUGUUUGAUCAUUGUCACAAAAUACCACUAGCAAUUGAUGUUAUUUUUUAAGGGCUUGACAUCAAUGGUGCAUUAGGUAUUUUGGUGAGUAAUUUUUGGUUCUCUAUAAACUAAUAUAGUUUAUGUAUCUGCAAAAUCAUGUUAGAAUUUUAAUUCUUAAAAUUCUAGCGCUUAGAAAUAAAGGAAGAACAUUGUGUUCUUGAAUCUAAACUUAUGUCAAGAUGGAGAAACUCAAAUUCUCUCACU
rnacentral:lncRNA from 1 species